rnacentral:rRNA from 1 species
AUUGAACGCUGGCGGCAGGCCUAACACAUGCAAGUCGAACGAGUGGCGGACGGGUGAGUAAUGUCUGGGAAACUGCCUGAUGGAGGGGGAUAACUACUGGACACGGUAGCUAAUAACGCAUACCAUCAGAUGUGCCAAGAUGGGAUUAGCUUGUUGGUGGGGUAACGGCUCACCAAGGCGACGAUCCCUAGCUGGUCUGAGAGGAUGAACAGCAACACUGGAACUGAGACACGGGCCAGCCUCCUACGGGAGGCAUGAGGGGGGAAUAUUGAACAAUGGGCGAAAGCCUGAUGCAUCCAUGCCGCGUGUAUGAAGAAGGCCUUCGGGUUGUAAAGUACUUUCAGCGGGGAGGCGUUACCCGCAGAAGAAGCACCGGCUAACUCCGUGCCAGCAGCCGCGGUAAUUC